UGAACCUAUAGACUCUGGCUCCAAGAUGGCUC
rnacentral:piRNA from 1 species